UACGGAGGGUGCAAGCGUUAUCCGGAUUCACUGGGUUUAAAGGGAGCGUAGGUGGCUUUGUACGUCAGUGGUGAAAUAUUGCGGCUCAACCGCAAAACUGCCAUUGAUACUGCUUAGCUUGAAUCACGUCGAGGUGGAUGGAAUAAUACAUGUAGCGGUGAAAUGCUUAGAUAUGCAUUAGAACACCGAUUGCGAAGGCAGUUCACUAGGCGUGUAUUGACACUGAGGCUCGAAAGCGUGGGGAUCAAACAGG
rnacentral:rRNA from 1 species